rnacentral:rRNA from 1 species
UACGUAGGCAGCGAGCGUUGUUCGGAAUUACUGGGCGUAAAGCGUGCGUAGGUGGUUCGUUAAGUCUGUCGUGAAAGCCCCGGGCUCAACCUGGGAAUGGCGAUGGAUACUGGCGGGCUAGAGUGCGGUAGAGGAGAGUGGAAUUCCCGGUGUAGCAGUGAAAUGCGUAGAGAUCGGGAGGAACAUCAGUUGCGAAGGCGGCUCUCUGGACCAGCACUGACACUGAGGCACGAAAGCGUGGGGGAGCAAACAGG